rnacentral:lncRNA from 1 species
GCUCGAGGUCGUCCCCACCUAAUGAAAAAAAAUAAAAAACAAAAAAUAAAAAAUAAAAAUAUUAAGAGUUCUACUUUCCGUCUAAAAUUACAAAUACUUCCGGGCAUACCAUGGAAUAAAGCAUAUACAAGUCCUUUGGAGCAUCCCGAAUAAAUUUAACUAUGGGAACAACCUCUCGCCUCAAAUUAACAAAAAUUCUAAUGUUUGCGUCCUCAUGUGUGGUCGGCCUGAAGCAUGCUCCUAGAGACUUGAAAAGAAAGUAAAAUUAGGCUAAAAUAAAGGUAUUCUACGAUCAUGUGAUUUAACCCUCCCUCGCCCAAUGUCGCCAUUAAAAAAAGAGAUGCACACAAACAAGAGGGACGGAAAUCCGAACAGAACAACAAACCAAACGAAACACGAAGAAAGAAGUAAAAGACGAUGAAAAUAGCAAGGCAAAAUUUAAAAAAAAAACAGCUCAAAACACAAACUACCAAGCUUUACUGCAGGCAAGGAAAUGGUAAACGUCCCACUGAAAAACUUUUCUCCAAAUGUCUUACUAAUUCAUGGCAAGGGAAUGAUCACAAACUAAAGAUAAUUGACAAAUUAACAAUAAAGCUUUCACAUUAACUCACGUUGGAAAAAAAAAAUGCACUACUACAAUUGAGCAUUGACGUUAUUAGCAACUUUUAUGCACUACCACAUAAAGAAAAUAUAUCUUUGUUUGAGAGAGUGUUUCAAACAUGCUAAAGGUGUUAAAUGAAAGAAGCAAACUGACAUUAGGAGUAAAGAAAAAUUAUUACCAUACAAAUACGAUUUCAAGUUUCAAAACUAGAUGUAAAUAACAAAUAGUUGGAGAAAACACUACCACGCCUUCCAUUGAGAACCAAAGUUAACCAAACAGACAUAGAAGCACGGUCUAAAAAACAUUCCAUAUGCUCGUCAACUUAAACUUAUUCCAUAGAUUCAACAGACGCCUAGACACGCUUAAGUUGAGAGUUUCAAUUCCAUCAGUUAUGACUAAUAACAAGUUUAGCACCGAGACUACUGAGAAAAUGAUCAAACUUGACUGACAUUGAACAAUAAACUGACUUUUAAAGCAAUUAACAAAUUAGCAUAUCACCAUGUUGGAGACAACAUCAAUUCGAGUUAGCCCGCGAACCAGUGGUUACACUUCAUCGAUCCUCAUUUUAUUUUGAACUCAAACGAGACACGCUAACUGAUUCUUGGAUUUGAAAACAAGUCAUUUAAACACAGAAUUCUUAUCUAGCAACUAACAAUCUACAUGUAACUAAAAUGCCGAUACCAAUCUUCUACGGGCCUUUUGACACAAGAAUUGAAUGUUAUGUGUUCUGUACAUUCAAAAAUCGGAUGCCAACUCGAAGAAACCGAGGACAGAACCAAACGAGCAAAAACAACUAAGGACAUCAACGUAUUUAAGUCAAGAAAAGAAGGAUAUCAUUUGCAAUUAUCAGUUAAUUAUAGAGGAGAAGCAGGGAAGAAAGUUAUGCAGAUUGAAACCAAAUUGCGACAUAAGAGAGAACAUGAUAGAAUAAUGAACUAAGCUAGCACAAACUGCUAGGAAUGACUCGAUUAAGAUUAACGGAUUUGUAUAAUUUUUAGAAAGCAAUGGAAACUAACCGAGCCAAUAACAGACAGAGAAUCAGCAGAGAACAGUUUCAGAAACUUGUUUCAACUUACAAACUCGACCAAACCAGGCAGAAAUGUUUGUGAAAAAUGGUAAACAACCACAUCUCAACCAACAGUCAGAAGAUCGAUUAAGUCCAGUUUGUUAAUCUAAAGAACUCAUACUUUCCUUUAAUACUAACCGAGCAUCAGACAAUUCAUAACCAACUAAGCGUCAAUCCUAUUCAUGUUUCAGUCAACAAAAAGGUCGAGAAAAUAAAAACAAACCUGAAUCGCGAAAACUUUGAUUAAUUUGCUUCGAAUCAAAUACAAGUAAAUUCGGCGAUGAAAAAUCCAAAGACUACAGCAGCUACAAUGUGAUAUGUUGCCAAAAAUCACGAACUCGGACUCGAACGGCCAACUCGAUCUCGUCUCAAUCAAUCUCCAUGUCAAAGCAAAAUCAAAAGAAGAAGCUAAAUAUAAUUUUUUCUCUUUGGGAUUUUCUGAUUUUUGAAAAUGAAACCAAGACUUCCAACAAAAUGAAAACUCGAACUAUUUUUUUUUUUGUAUAUUUUCUGGAAUGCUAAUUAGCAGAAAAAUCUCAGAAGAAUACCAAACCCAAGAACCCUAGUUUUUCGAAAAUUUUCCUCUAAUUUGUGUCCGAAAAAUUCCCCUCCAUUUCUGUCUGUUAACCCCAAUAUAUAUAGCCCUCUAGAAUAUUCUCCUCCUCUUCCCCUAAGAAAUUCCAAAACCGUGUGAUCCCCGAAAAUACCAAAUCUCCGAAAACCCUUUUCAAAAUAAAAAAUCGGAAAAAAUGGAGAUUUUUGGACGAAAUUUCAUCCAACGAUCCCCAUUCUUCCCGAGUUUAUUCAAGGGUUCGAAUUUUUGUUGAAAAAAACGAAAUAAAAGAAGAUAUCCCACACGAAUCGGAUUGAAAUGAUAAUAUUCGUUGGGAUUUUGCUAUGUGGAAGAAGGAUAGAAGAGAGGGGGGACCAGGUAAUGAUUUGGGAAAUAUUUUGGUGGUUUUGGGGGCUUUCUCGGCAGCUAGGGAGGUGAGAAGGUGGGGCAGUUGUUG